UAGAAACAUUUGGUGGCCAUUGUUAAAAGCUAUUGACGAGUUAGUUUGAGCAUUUCUCUCAUUAGGUCAUAAGUUAGAAAAGAAGUGCAUGAACACAUAGCAGUGACCCAAAAAAAGUAGUUGCAGCAAAUGUAUUCUCCAACAUACAUAUUAAAGGACCAGAGAAAAUGAAUGAAGAUGCCAACCUUUGCUGUAAUCAAACAUGGACCUUCUGUUGAUGUAACCUGCACAUCAUAUGGAGAUUGAGAGAAACGUUGGCCGAAGAGAGAGUUGGAGGAGGAAAUGGAGAGACCAAUAAAGGAGCUCGAAAGAGCCAAC